rnacentral:rRNA from 1 species
CAAACCAAAGCUGGCGACCGGCGCACGGGUGAGUAACACGUAUCCAACCUGCCUCAUACUCGGGGAUAGCCUUUCGAAAGAAAGAUUAAUAUCCGAUAGCAUAUAUUUCCCGCAUGGGUUUUAUAUUAAAGAAAUUCGGUAUGAGAUGGGGAUGCGUUCCAUUAGUUUGUUGGGGGGUAACGGCCCACCAAGACUACGAUGGAUAGGGGUUCUGAGAGGAAGGUCCCCCACAUUGGAACUGAGACACGGUCCGA